rnacentral:rRNA from 1 species
GACGAACGCUGGCGGCGUGCUUAACACAUGCAAGUCGAGCGGAGCGGCGAACGGGUGAGUAACGCGUGAGUAACUGCCCCCCUCUCUGGGAUAACAGUUGGAAACGGCUGCUAAUACCGGAUAGUGGGGGAUGACUCGGGUCCCAUCAGCUUGUGGGUGGGGUAGUGGCCUACCAAGGCGACGACGGGUAGCCCGCCUGGGAGGGCGACCGGCCACAUGGGGCUGAGGGACGGCCCAGACGCCAACGGGAGGCAGCGGUGGGGAAUAUUGCACAGCGGGGGAAAGCCUGAUGCAGCGGCGCCGCGUGCGGGAUGCCGGCCUUCGGGUUGUAAACCGCUUUCAGCCAUGACGCGGUAGUGGCAGAAGAAGCACCGGCUAACUACGUGCCAGCAGCCGCGGUAAUAC